GCGAAGGUAAUUAAAUUACCUUCGCACUGUUCAAAUGCAAUUUGAACACAGAAGAGCAAAAACUAAUGGAAACGGGCGCACCUGUUUCUAGAGAUUGCGAAAAAGGCUGCAAUGCUGGUGGGGUUCGACUGCUUUUCGUUUCUGGCGAUGGUGAAGAAGGCUACAACGCCGGUGUGGGUUCGACUGCUUUCUGUCAAUAACCGAUGGUUCGGUGAUCAAUUGUUUUCUUGCAGGGAUGAAAAUAGGGCUGAUCCGUGACUUCCCUCUGCACUUCUCUCCUUUUCUGUGUAUAUAUAUUUUUGUUUAUGCCCUGUUUUUUUUUGGUUUUUUACUCUGUUUUGGGUUAAUGUUUUCGUUCUUGACUCUGUAUAUUUUUUUUUUGUGUUGUGUUUUGUUUGCUCUGUUUUUCUGGGUUCUGUUUUUGGGUUAAUUUUUCAGUCUUUGCGUUGUUUUUGGGUUGAUUUUUGCCUUCUCGUUCUGUAUUUUUUGCUCCCUUUUAUAGAGACCCAACGGAUUGCUUCUAACCAGUCCUGCCUUUGCAGGACUGUUAUCUUCCACGAACGAGAUUACAGGCGAGAGAUGUGGUCCACGAUUGGAUCGAACCCGUUGCAGAUUUUCAGCCUAUUGAAUCGGGUUGGAGAAGACAAACACAACUGUUCCACCAGCAACGACGACAUUUUGGCAGCAAAGGAUUCCACCAGCAACGACAACGUUUCAGCAACAAUGGACAUUUUCUUUUUGACCUCUGAACUUUGGAAAUUUAGCAAUUGGACACCUAAUCAAUUAAAAAUUUCUUUUAAUUUUGCCCCUUUUGGAUUAAUUUCAAUUAGAUCCCUAAACUGGUACACUGUUUACAAAACAGUCCUUAA